UGUAAGAAUGGCAGGAAUCGAUGCACUUGAAAAAGCAGUCGUGAAAGGAUGCCUUUUCAUGCGACAGAGAGCCCCUACCAAUCCAUCCUGCAUUACAGCCAGUCAUCUAGCACAUGAAUCUCAUGGCACUCCCUGCCUCUAUCUUUUUCAUCACCAAACAGGACAACUUAUAGAGUCACCCAAAUGCACCAUAUUCACAGGCUUUGCAAAUGCUAGUUCCUCUUUCUCACUAUCUCCCCCGUGUUUGCAAAAUAAAUGCCUAUAGAUGAAGAUAAAA